AGAGUUUGAUCAUGGCUCAGGAUGAACGCUAGCGAUAGGCCUAACACAUGCAAGUCGAGGGGCAGCAAGGGGUAGCAAUACCCUGUUGGCGACCGGCGCACGGGUGAGUAACGCGUAUGCAACCUACCUACUACAGGGGGAUAACCCGGAGAAAUCCGGACUAAUACCGCAUAAAACAGGGGCUCCGCAUGGAGAUAUUUGUUAAAGAACUUCGGUAGUAAAUGGGCAUGCGUUCCAUUAGCCAGUUGGUGAGGUAACGGCUCACCAAAGCAACGAUGGAUAGGGGAACUGAGAGGUUUAUCCCCCACACUGGAACUGAGACACGGACCAGACUCCUACGGGAGGCAGCA
rnacentral:rRNA from 1 species